UACAGAGGUGGCAAGCGUUGUUCGGAAUUACUGGGCGUAAAGGGCGCGUAGGUGGCCUUCUUAGUCAGACGUGAAAUCCCCAGGCUUAACCUGGGAACUGCGUCUGAUACUGGAAGGCUCGAGUUCGGGAGAGGAAUGUGGAAUUCCAGGUGUAGCGGUGAAAUGCGUAGAUAUCUGGAGGAACACCGGUGGCGAAGGCGGCAUUCUGGACCGAAACUGACGCUGAGGCGCGAAAGCCAGGGAGCAAGCAGG
rnacentral:rRNA from 1 species